rnacentral:rRNA from 1 species
CCUACGGGUGGCAGCAGUAGGGAAUAUUGCUCAAUGGGCGCAACCCUGAAGCAGCAACGCCGCGUGAAGGAUGAAGGUUUUCGGAUUGUAAACUCCUUUUGUUGGGGAAGAUAAUGACGGUAUCUAACGAAUAUUCCCCGGCUAACUCCAUGCCAGCAGCCGCGGUAAUACGGAGGGUGCAAGCGUUAAUCGGAAUCACUGGGCGUAAAGAGCGCGUAGGCGGGUUAGCAAGUCUGAUGUGAAAUCCUAUGGCUUAACCAUAGAACUGCAUUGGAAACUGUUAUUCUAGAGUAUGGGAGAGGUAGGUGGAAUUCUUGGUGUAGCGGUAAAAUGCGUAGAGAUCAAGAGGAAUACUGAUUGCGAAGGCGACCUGCUAGAACAUAACUGACGCUGAUGCGCGAAAGCGUGGGGAGCAAACAGGAUUAGAUACCCGGGUAGUC